ACAGGUGCGUAACGCGUGGGAAUCUGCCCUUGGGUUCGGAAUAACAGUUAGAAAUGACUGCUAAUACCGGAUGAUGUCUUCGGACCAAAGAUUUAUCGCCCAGGGAUGAGCCCGCGUAGGAUUAGGUAGUUGGUGGGGUAAUGGCCCACCAAGCCGACGAUCCUUAGCUGGUCUGAGAGGAUGAUCAGCCACACUGGGACUGAGACACGGCCCAGACUCCUACGGGAGGCAGCAGUGGGGAAUAUUGGACAAUGGGCGAAAGCCUGAUCCAGCAAUGCCGCGUGAGUGAUGAAGGCCUUAGGGUUGUAAAGCUCUUUUACCAGGGAUGAUAAUGACAGUACCUGGAGAAUAAGCUCCGGCUAACUCCGUGCCAGCAGCCGCGGUAAUACGGAGGGAGCUAGCGUUGUUCGGAAUUACUGGGCGUAAAGCGCACGUAGGCGGCUAUUCAAGUCGGGGGUGAAAGCCCGGGGCUCAACCCCGGAACUGCCCUCGAAACUAGAUAGCUAGAAUCUUGGAGAGGCGAGUGGAAUUCCGAGUGUAGAGGUGAAAUUCGUAGA
rnacentral:rRNA from 1 species